UCAUGAGGGGUCAGGGUUGUAUCGGGAAACCCCUUAGGUGGGAUGAGUGGGGUGAACCUGGGAGGUUCCGCUAACUGGCGGGCUAGGGAAGAAGGAGUUAAGUGGUGCUGCUGCCACCUGAGCCGGGCAUCAAAUGACCUGAGUCCAGUUCUGCUAGUGAGGAGGUGGAGUUGAGCCUGCCCCCAGGCCUCUGGCUGCCUCAGGCCUGUGUGAGUCCUGCUGAGGAGGUCUGGGGGGAUGCCCCUGGCCAGGAAAAGAGCUCUCACUGGGGAUCCUCACUGACUCUCUGUCUCCAGGCUCCCAGCUAUGGCCCUCCCCCCACCUCUGGGCCCUAGAUUCCCCUCAGAGCCCCUCAACUACCCCACUGGAGCCCCUAGGGAACUGGACAUUGCUAGAUGCACCAUCUGCCCUGCAUCUGGAGAGAAGAGAAUCAGACCAGAACAGGCCCAGAAACUGGGGCAAGACUCCUUGGACCCUCCCGAACACUUCCAGGGUGGGCUGAGGGGCACUGAGCCUGCUGCUGGUCCCCUGAGAUUGCCAGCACCCUCUUCCAGUGAGGACCCAGCUGGGGGCAGACACCGUGAGCACCUCAUCUCUGGCCAGGAAGUAUUGGAGGCUGAGCAGGACAGCCUAUCCCUUUGCCUGUUGGGGCUGGGCCUCCGGCUGCAGGACCUAGAACAAGGCUUGGGGCCCUGGGCAUCAGCCCAGAGCGGGAUGGUCCAGCUGCAGGCCCUACAGGCAGACCUAUGUGGAGCAGCUGAGCGUGUAGAUGCACUGCUGGCAUUCGGUGAGGGGCUGGCACAGCGGAGUGAGCCUCAGGCCUGGGCAUCCCUGGAGCAGGUCUUGAGGGCCCUCAGAGCCCACCGAGACGGCAUCUUUCGGCGACUGUGGUGGCUGCAGGCCCAGCUGGUCAGCUACAGCCUGGUAUGGCCCACCCUGGCAGUCCCCACCCAAGGUACCAAUUCCACAACCCCCAUGACUCUGUCCUCUGACCAGGUGUUCGAGGAGGCCAGUACACUGGACCAGGACUUGGAAGUUGAGGGGGACUUGGACGGGCCAGGACCUGGUGGGGCCUGGGGGCCCUGGGCACCCAGUGGCCUCCCUACUCCUGCAGAGUUGGAGUGGGACCCGGCAGGGGAUGUUGGAGGCCUCAGGCCCUUGGGGCGAAAGACAGCCUGGACACCAGGAGCUCCCUGUGAGCUAUGUGGCCACAGGGUCCCCGAGGGCAGGGGACAAGGCCUUGAGGUGAGAGCAGGACAUGCUCAUGUCGGGCUUCAGCCACCGGAAACACUUAGCAGGUCAGCGAAGACGCUCCCUGCUCCGGAAGCCUCAGGUGAGAUGGUCCUCAGCCAGCUGUAUCACUCUGGAAUUUUGAUGGCAAGUGACAGAAACCUAACCGAAAUGGAAUUACACAAAAAAGGGGAUGUAAUUUUUUUUAUGUAACUGACAAGGCUGGGUGCUGCUGAAGAGAUCUCAAAUGCUGUCAGGGCUCAGUCCUUUCCUCUUUCAGGCUCUACUUCUCCAAGGUGGAUUCUUUCUCAGCAAAUGGCCACCCCAAUACUCGCCCAAUACUGAAUACUCAUUUCCCACUGGUAUGCCCACCCAAGGAGAAGCAGGGUGCCACCUACCUGCUGGCAGCAGUGUCCCAGGGCUGCCUCCCACUUGCCCAGCUUGGGUCAUGGCCUGCACCCUGAACCAAUCACAGUGGCCAAACUGAUGGAGUGCUCUCAUUGGCCAGAUCUGGCUCACAUGCCCAGUCAUGGAAGUGGAGACGUGUGGGGUCAGCCACAUAAGAACCUGAAGGGCUGAGAGGGGGUCGGCAUGAUACCCUCCACCCACUGUACAAAUUGAGCCACUGUUACCAGGAGAAGGAAGACUGGAUGGAGGGCAGGCACAGAUAUCCACUACACCGGAGAGGGUUGGGAGGGUUCCAGGAAAGAAGGAAAAAUAAACUCAGCCCCAUAGGUCUUAUGGUAGGAAGGAAGAGUCCAGAGUAAGUGUCCCUUCCAUCCAUUCUGCUGCUGGCUGCUGUCUCCCCUUAGGACAAGAAGCAGGCAUCUCCCAACCUGCAGGAUGUGAUGUUGGAGGUAGACCCUGGAGCCCCUCCUCCUGCAUCCAGGUGGUCC